GACCGACUGGCGGAGCGGUUGCGCACUUGACUGUCGGUCAGGAGAUGCAGGUUCGACUCCUGCGUUGGUCG